CAACUCACCUGCCGAAGCAACUAGCCCUGAAAAUGGAUGGCGCUCUAGCGUCGUGCCUAUACCGGGCCGUCAACGGCAAAGUGGGCUGUCGCCCGUUCCGUUACUAACGUGCGGUGCGGGCUUGGCCGUUACGCCUUGACGAGUAGGAGGUGCGCGGCGGUGUGCGCAGAAGGGUCUGGGCGCGAGCCUGCCUGGAGCCGCCGUCGGUGCAGAUCUUGGUGGUAGUAGCAAAUACUCUAGCGAGGGCCUGGAGGGCUGAUGUGGAGAAGGGUUUCUUGUGAACAGCCGUUGCACAAGAGUCAGUCGACCCUAAGCCCUAGGAGAAAUCCGAUGUUGAUGGGCAGCAAUCAAUCAGUUUUGGUCGAAUGCUCCCGUUGGGGCGAAAGGGAAUCCGGUUCCUAUUCCGGAACCCGGCUGCGGAACCGUACCUUCGCGGGCACUCGCCUGCGAGCGCUCGUCGGGGUAACCCAAAGUGACCCGGAGACGCCGGCGGGAGGUCUGGAAAGAGUUGUCUUUUCUUUAUAAGCGUUCGAGUUCCCUGGAAUCCUAUAGCAGGGAGAUAGGGUUUGGAAUGCGAAGAGCACCGCAGUUGCGGCGGUGUCUGGACCUUCCCCCCGGACCUUGAAAAUCCGGGUGAGGGCUACGCGGAAAUGUCGCGCCGGCUCGUACCCAUAUCCGCAGCAGGUCUCCAAGGUUAAGAGCCUCUAGUCGAUAGAAUAAUGUAGGUAAGGGAAGUCGG
rnacentral:rRNA from 1 species